CAUGCCCGUGGUGAAACCCUAGCCGCCUCGCUCCCUUUCUCGCGCGUCGCCGCCUGCCUCCUCUCCUUCCCGCGACCCCGCACCACGUCUUCUCCCCGCCGCCGCCCGGCCGCCUCGCACCAGGCGCCCACUCGCCCCGCCGCUGCCCGACCUCCUCCCCACCCGUGCCUCCCUCUCUCUCUCUCCUUCCAAACCCUAGAUCACCUCCCUGCCCCGUCCCCGUCGCCGAGGAGGAGCGCCUCCGGGGAGCAGCAAAAGGAGGAGGGGCACGCGGCGGCGGCUACGAUGGGCGCGGCCCCGCCGUCCCGCCCUGCCCGCCGUGGCUACCUGCCCCGUCCCCGUCGCCGAGGCGGAGCUCGCGCUCGGGGAGGACGAGGAGACGGCCGCCUCCGGGGAGCAGCAGAAGGAGGAGGGGCGCGCGGCGGCGGCGACGAUGGGCGCGGCCCCGCCGUCCCGCCCUGCCCGCCGUGGCUGCCAUGGACGAGCUCGAGCUCGAUUGGGGAUCAAGGGGCCGCCCCGCCCGUCCCGCUCUCCAUGGCCAUGGCCAUGGCCGAUGACCGCGGCCCCGCUCGCUGCGGCGGCCAUGGACGAGCUCGAGCUCGAUGGGGGAGCAACGGGGAGAGGAAUGUGAGGCUAUGGGGGAUCUGUGCUAGCCUGCUGCGUGGCUAAUACCAGCAUUGUGAAUUUCUUUCAUGAGGAAUUUCUUUCAGAUCGCAAUGGCUGACAAAGAGCUUCAGGUUCAUGGUUCACCAGGUUCUGCUGGCUCCACUAACAGUUGCCUGCAUGCACUUGCACAGGAGAGGCUCACACCGAGGGAGGGCUAAAUUGUGAGAUAUCCUUGUUUGGUCCGUCAAUAUACCUACAAGGCCUGAAUCAAGGUUGCAUGGUUUAUUGUUGAACUGAAUGCUUCAAUGAAACUUUGAUUUCAGGUGUUGCCCAUUGUCGUUGCGUCUGUCAAGCUAGCGCGUCACAUCCGCCUCUUCUCCUUCAUGGUGUUUGGCAGAGGUAGCACGGGGGUUGUGCCUAUGUGAGCCACGAUGGCGCUGCCCGCGCCCCUGCCUCAUUCGUGAGCAUCACCUCACCCCUGCCUAGUCCGUGAGGGAGACGCUUUGUGAAAGGAAGGAGAGCUCUGCCGCCAUGGAAGACGUCGGGAAUCGUUCGCUUGCCGGGUAUUGGCCACUUACACAGUGGCUCCGGCUAAGCUGAGAUUACAUCAUUGGAGCACCGUUCUACAAAUGUGAUUAAUUUGGCAUGGGUAUGUGUACAGUCGGAAUGAGGCGCCAUGGGAAGGAUUCUGAUCUCUGAGAAGUGUGAUAAAUCAAUAGUGCCAAUCCGUUCAGUUUCAGCUUGAAAAACAUUGGGUGAUUGAAAAUGGCAUGCUAUAUUUCUGCAACAAGGCUCCCUAAAUAUUCCCUAUGUUCUAAACUGGAUUCUGACAAGGGUAAAGAUAUCUGAGACAUCCCUCAUUUUAUUUUAAGACCAUUACUUUUUUGCCUACCUCUCAUAUAAAUCUCUAACACGGGCCGGCUCUCUAUUCUCUGUGGUUUAAGGUGUACACCCUGCUAUUUGGUCAGAAGUUUGGGAGUUCAUACUUGGUUGUUUGAUCUCGAGAACACCUUUGAUGACCACAAGCAAAUUGGGCAAACCAGAAGGUACUUCUAGGACACGGAGAAUUUCCCUGAAGGUCAAGACCUCACAUCAAUGCUCCCAAGCCCCUGAUGAGCUUGUUCCUUUUUUUUUAAGUUUCUCAAAUGUCACUUCUAUAGGUUUACUUGAGAUGUUAUGUUGCAUAUGUUGUGCUGAGGUUUUCCUACUUUCCUUUUGACUUCUCUGAAGCUGAUCAUCACAUGUUUAUGCAAUUGGACCAAAGCGACGACAUUAAGAAUCCGGUGUCUUUGUGUUUGCCUACAGAAUUCAGUCAGUUUAAAGUAAUUUUCAUGUUGAUUGCAUUUUGUCAUAGGAACGCGCAAAGAAACUAAUUUUUGAUCAUGUCGUUGACCGCCUCUGUUAUAAUAAUUCUUUAACAAAAUGGUCACAUUCCACAUGAA